AACCCUCUAUAAUGGAGUCUCAUGCCCUCUACUGGCAUGCAAGUGUACAUGCAGAUAGAGCACUGAUACACACAAAAUAAAUCUUUAAAAAAAAAAUCCCAGUUCUGGUGUGAACAAAUAAAAAUCUUAAUGUUUUGAGUUACCCAUUCUAGAUUUUGAGGAAAGACACAAGAUUGUGCCUGUGAACAAGUAACUAUUCUGUGAACCUCAGUUUCCUAUGUAUAAAAUAAAAAGGGUGAAAAUUAGAAACUCCUUACAAAUCGAUUCCAGCUGAGUUCGUGAAUAUCUUUUGUUCCCUAUGUGUUUACUGAAAACACAGGAAAGAGUAAGAAGAGUUAUCUGUCAAUGCUGAAUUCUCUGCCAGCAAUGACUGGCACUAAAGCUGAAGCUCCAGUGUUGAGACGUGUAUGUCAGCCAGAUCUUGAGUUUCUGAUCUUUCUUUCUUUCUUCCCCACAUCGAUGACAAUGAAGGAGGAAAGACAAAUGGAUCUGAGCCUCAGGACCUGGUUCUUUCAUUUGGAGAACUGGACAGUUGGUGGACCUGCUUCCUGGUUCUGGUUGAGAGCUGAAGCAUUUGCCAGGCCCUGUGCUCAAGGCUCUGGGUCUUGUCCUUAAUAUUGUCUACCCAAGAGUGUCAGUGUAAGAAAGGAAGAGCAGAAGGUAGAGGAACGGACGCCUUAAGAGAACUCUACUGGAGGGCCAAGGGCUAAAGCAGACAUGACACUGAACCUUUUGUUUCUGGAAUGUCUACCAUUUUUUUCCAAGUUGUUUUUAAAAGCUUCAUGUUUUCUAAUUGAACUCAGUAACAGUCCAAUUAAAGUGUUUAAGCAUGGUAUGCUUUUAUACUCCUAAAAACUCAGAAGUAUUUGCUAGGGUGACAAAACUGUUUACUAAAAACGACUGGUAGGACCAUGGUUUGAACCUAAGACUAUGCCUUGCCUCCUUAAAUGCAUAUGAGUCGUUUUGUUUCAACAUACUGUUUCCUUAGGGAUAUUCUGCCCUUUUUUUU
rnacentral:lncRNA from 1 species